UGCAGCCAAAGCCAUAUCACCCUGUAGCCCAAGACUGGUUGCCCACUGAAGCUAAGCAGGGCUGAGCCUGGUCAGUACCUGGAUGGAAAGACCUCCUGGGAAAACUAGGUUGCUGCUGAAA
ensembl:rRNA 5S_rRNA 5S ribosomal RNA